ACCACUUUCACUGAUGACGCAGGUAUGAUUUUUAUUGCUUAAUAGCAGCAUCAAGAAAACUGAACUUCAAAUUCAAAUUGAAAAGUGAACCUCAAAUCAAGCAGUAUUUCUCAUCAGUAAUGAUGGGGAGGGAUUUGAAAGUCCUGCUUACCAUGUAAAUUUGAACUAUCUGGGAAUGGGACCGCUCUCUGGCAUGCAUCACGCCAGCAUUUUUACCAAAAAUGGAGAUUUCCUUCCACCUCCACUUCUUCCCAGUCAGGUCACAUGAAACAGGGAAACUAUGGGAUCAGGCAAACCUAAAUUUCAUUCGUGAUUCCACUUUAAAACAGGAAACUUAUUAUCUACUCUGUAGGAAAACAUAAAAUAAUUUUUGCAAAGUACACAGUAGCAAAGGAUUGGCUUCUUUCCAUCCUGAAGAUCUGCAGCUUAAAACAACUUCAGUGUGACAUUGUUCCCUGAUACCACACUCAUAAAGUUUUAUUCACACAUAACAGACCUUCCUUCAAAUCCCACCUCCUCCACUAAAUAGCACAUUAUUCAACCUCAGUUUCCUCUUCUAUAAAAUGGGCACAAUAAUAGAACCUAGCUCACAGAGUAGAGGGGAACAGAUGAUAAAGUGCAUUUAAAUGCUUAGCCUGGUGUCUGACACAUAAUAAAAUUUUUGCUAACAGAAUUACAAUAAUACAAAUAACAAUAACAUUUCAGUUCUAUUCGAAUUUGCACAUUAACCAACACUUAGAUGGGUCAGCAGCAAAGGUUUGGGGUAGUUUGCCAUUUUUUCCUUCUUAAAUUUCCUUGGCUGUGCUUCUUUCCCUCCCUUCCCAGGGCAGGUCUGUUUCAAUUCAGCCGCUGGCUGGAACAUCUGGCAGGUUGCCCACUCUUGACGUUUUCUGUUUGUGGAGCCAACAGGGUGG
rnacentral:lncRNA from 1 species